UGGUCAUCCAACAGCCUCAAACUCAUCCCUAGUUGACUCACCCGCUUGUGGCAAGUCCUAAGAGACUUCUUUGGUCGCCUAAAGUUGGCCAAAUCCCAAGAUCCAACCGAAUCAAGAGAAGACCUGACACACAACCUGCAAUUUUUACGGCAUCAACCCCUUCCUAGACACUCACCGGCCGCCAAUCUACAAAUUGCCGUUGUUGGAACCUCCAUCCGACUUCUCAGUUAGAAGAUCCGACCGGGUUGGGUCAAGAGAUCUAUUGGAUAAGAGAGAUAAGCUCACCACAGCUUCAGUGAGCCGUGUUUCACCUGAUUUGUCUCCAACUCUACACUGAUAACGUCACUGCCACAUCAUCACUGCCACGUCAGUAAAAAAUUGAAUAUGACUUACCUGACUAAUUUCAACAUUCUAAGUCCAAUUUUGGCAUCCGUAUUUGCAAAGCACAGCUACAAUGGGCUAAAUUUUGUGUUUUCA
rnacentral:misc_RNA from 1 species